UAUAUUGCUCAUCAUAACCACUGAAAACUGUCAAAAAAUCUAACCCAAAGUCCAAAUAUUAUGGACGUUAUCUGACACUAAGCGUUGCUGCUCCAUUAAGGGUAUUCUAAGGACAAAACUUAACGUGAAAACAGCUUUGUUAGAAAGCCUGUCCCCCCCCCCCUCUGCAGGUGGAUGGCCAUACUGCAGUCUGAUGUCGGUGGAGUGAGCGCCACUGUGCUCUGAUAUCUGUUUAGAGACUUUUAAAUAGCGGACUUUUCCUUAUUCCUUCUCUCCAUUCUGUCUGGUUUGUGUGUCCGUGAGGAAAACACCACAAGCUCAAACUACCAAACUAAACUCUGUUAACCAGACAUAGGCCUACUUCCUCUGGAGCCUGAGUCCAUAUCUGCCGCCUCAACCACUGAAAUCACAUCUCUCCGUUUCAAGCCUAACGUGGUUUAAUGUACCUAAACAACGAUCAAUAAAAGCCAAAAAAUUGACAAUGACUUCAAUGCUUUAUUCUAUGCAGCUCCACCAAAUGAAUGAACUGGACAAGUUAAGUUUGUGCUACUGACUGUGUUAAGACCCUGAACUGUUUGACCUCAGCUCCACCAAAUGAAUGAACUGGACAAGUGAAGUUUGUGCUACUGACUGUGUUAAGACCCUGAACUGUUUGGCCUCAGCAGCCAGCAUGGCCCGUUGUGUGACUCUAGAUUGGAAGCUGCGUCGGGCUCUCGCCCUCGCCGCACGCAAUGUCCCCCAAGUUGAAGAGGUAGAAGAGGACACAGAAGAACAAAAGGACCUGCACAUUCAAAAACACCACCUCCAGACCCAAAAUUCAGCGAGGAUGAUUUGUGCCGUCAUACGUUACUGAGCGUCCUCCUCCCCCCCAGGGGACCAGGUCCAGGAGGCUGGAAACGCCAGCGCUGCUCCA